GACGAACGCUGGCGGCGUGCUUAACACAUGCAAGUCGAACGGAAAGGCCCUGCUUUUGCUUGGUUCUCGUUUGGCGCACGGGUGAGUAACACGUGAGUAACCUGCCCUUGACUUUGUGAUAUCUUCAGGAAACUGGGGCUAAUACCGCAUAUGAGCUCCUGCUGCAUGGUGGGCGUUGGAAAGUUUCGGCGUUUGGGGAUGGACUCGCGGCUUAUCAGCUUGUUGGUGUGGUUGUGGCUUACCAAGGCUUUGACGGCUAGCCGGCCUGAGAGGGUGACCGGCCACAUGAGGACUGAGGUACGGACCAGACGCGUACGGGAGGCAGCGGUGGGGAGUAUUGCACAGUGGGCGGAAGCCUGAUACAGCAACGCCGCGUGCGGGAUGACGGGCUUCGGGUUGUAAACCGCUUUCGCCUGUGACGAAGCGUGAGUGACGGUAAUGGGUAAAGAAGCACCGGCUAACUACGUG
rnacentral:rRNA from 1 species